rnacentral:rRNA from 1 species
UAGAGUUUGAUCAUGGCUCAGGACGAACGCUGGCGGCGUGCCUAAUACAUGCAAGUUGAGCGCUGAAGGUUGGUACUUGUACCGACUGGAUGAGCAGCGAACGGGUGAGUAACGCGUGGGGAAUCUGCCUUUGAGCGGGGGACAACAUUUGGAAACGAAUGCUAAUACCGCAUAAAAACUUUAAACACAAGUUUUAAGUUUGAAAGAUGCAAUUGCAUCACUCAAAGAUGAUCCCGCGUUGUAUUAGCUAGUUGGUGAGGUAAAGGCUCACCAAGGCGAUGAUACAUAGCCGACCUGAGAGGGUGAUCGGCCACAUUGGGACUGAGACACGGCCCAAACUCCUACGGGAGGCAGCAGUAGGGAAUCUUCGGCAAUGGACGAAAGUCUGACCGAGCAACGCCGCGUGAGUGAAGAAGGUUUUCGGAUCGUAAAACUCUGUUGGUAGAGAAGAACGUUGGUGAGAGUGGAAAGCUCAUCAAGUGACGGUAACUACCCAGAAAGGGACGGCUAACUACGUGCCAGCAGCCGCGGUAAUACGUAGGUCCCGAGCGUUGUCCGGAUUUAUUGGGCGUAAAGCGAGCGCAGGUGGUUUAUUAAGUCUGGUGUAAAAGGCAGUGGCUCAACCAUUGUAUGCAUUGGAAACUGGUAGACUUGAGUGCAGGAGAGGAGAGUGGAAUUCCAUGUGUAGCGGUGAAAUGCGUAGAUAUAUGGAGGAACACCGGUGGCGAAAGCGGCUCUCUGGCCUGUAACUGACACUGAGGCUCGAAAGCGUGGGGAGCAAACAGGAUUAGAUACCCUGGUAGUCCACGCCGUAAACGAUGAGUGCUAGAUGCAGGGAGCUAUAAGUUCUCUGUAUCGCAGCUAAC